AGAGUUCGAUUAUGGCUCAGGACGAACGCUGGCGGCGUGCUUAACACAUGCAAGUCGAGCGGGGAUUGCGAAGCGGAAGGUUUCGGCCGGAAGGUUUGCAAUUCAAGCGGCGGACGGGUGAGUAACGCGUGAGCAAUCUGUCCCAGACAGGGGGAUAACAGAUGGAAACAUCUGCUAAUACCGCAUAAGACCACGGGAUCGCAUGAUCGUGAGGUAAAAGGAGGAAUCCGGUUCGGGGUGAGCUCGCGUCCGAUUAGGUAGUUGGUGAGGUAAAGGCUCACCAAGCCGACGAUCGGUAGCCGGCCUGAGAGGGUGAACGGCCACAUUGGAACUGAGAGACGGUCCAA
rnacentral:rRNA from 1 species